GCAGUUAGCAAACAGUCACUCCAAAAUCUCAGUGGUAGGCCACUCUGAAACAUCAAAGUUCUGGCUAUAUUUAAAAGAUGUCUAUGUUUGCGUUCAACGACCCCAUUUUGUUGAGGGGUAUAUGAACAAGACGUUUGGUGUAUAAUACCUUUCUGUUUACAAAACAAAGACAUUUGACUGUUAACAAACUCAGUUCCAUUAUCACUCCUAAACACUUUAAUCCUUUUUUUAAACUGAGUUAAAACAAGUUCAUAAAACAUUUUUAGAUUUUCAAAAACUUCCAUCUUGUUUUUAAGCAUAUAAUACCAAACAGACCUAGAAAAGUCAUCUACCACAGUUAGAAAAUAUUUGAACCCUUCAUAACUGGAUAUCUUGUAAGGACCCCAUAAGUCUAAGUGAAUUAGAUCACCUAGUUCCUUAGACUUAUGAUCACUUAAUGGAAAUGGAACUCUAACCUGUUUAGACCUAUGACAAAUCUCACAUGGACCAUGUUCAACAAACUUGGACACACAAAUAAUCAUUUUUGAAAAUAGCCAAAACUUGAUCCGAAGGAUGGCCUAACCUACUGUGCCACAAAUUAGAUGUAACAACACUAUUAAAACACAGAUUCACAGAAUUACCAUCUUUCCCUACAAAAUACAGACCAUUUUCAUGUUUACCAAUCACCAGGACUUUCUUUGACCUCAAAUCCUGUAGCAUACAAUUAUUCUCAUUAAACAAGACAACUAUUUUAUUAUCUUUGGCUAAUUUGUGAACAGAUAAGAGAUUAACACUGUAACCAGGAACAUAAAACACAUCUUUGAUAACCACAUUUUUAAUCAGUUUAAGUUCUCCAAUUUUUAACACAUUAACACUGGUUCCAUUAGGAUGACCAACCUUUAAUCCACAUUCAGAAACAUCAAUACAAUUAAACAUAUCUUUAUCACUUUUAAUCAUGUGUUGAUUAGCACCAGAAUCAACAACCCAAUUAUAAUCAUGAUUAAAACUCACACUACUAGAACAACUAACAAAUUCAGACACACAAGCAGAUACCUCCCAUAUUGGACUUCUCCUGAUCUCCCUCAGACUUAUCACCAACUAGGCUUAUUAACUUUGCAAUCUGCUCAGGAGUAAAAGGUAAAGUAGACACAGCAGAACUAGCAGGACCAGACGACAUACUAGAUCUAUUAGUAUUAUUACCACUAUUGUUUUUCACAAAAGACCCAUUAGUUCUUCUUUUCAUACCAGGAGGAUAACCAAUUAUUUCAAAACAUCUAUCAACUGUAUGACCUAAGAGCAUUCACAUCCAUUCCAUCAUAUUUUCACCCUAAAUUACACUAAAAAACACUACAUUUUCUCUCUCCUUUUCAAUUAAAUAAUAUUUUUUAUACCUUUAUUAUUAACUUUUCUCUCUCUUUCACUCACAACCACUUUCAAAAUAUAUUAAAAAAUUAUAGGGGGUGAACAGUGUCCCCCCAAAUAUACAGAUGAACAGUAACAUUUUCUCUCUCCUCCACUCACAACCACUUUUUAUACUUUUUAUAUUUUAAAAACACCACACACACAAUUUGAUUAUUUGGAUGUGAAUGCUCUAACAUGUUACAAUGAACUUUGCCACAUAUGACACACUUUGACUCUUAGUCCCACUACUUGAGAGUCUGUGUGAUUCCUCCCUAGAAACCACAGAAAAGGCAACCUUGACAGAUGGAAAUACUUCUCUGGUUAACAAAUUAGUUCUAACAGGUUGAUAAACAUCAUCUAAUCCCAUAAGAAACUUCAUUAAUUUGAUUAACAUUGAAAAAUCAUUAUAAUCUUUAGCUGCUUUACAAGAACAUGUGGGCAGUUUAAGCAUAGCAUCAAAUUGUUUCCACAUGGUUGUUAAUCUAUUAUAGUAAUCAGCUACAGUGGAACCAUUUUGUGAAAUACAGUUUAUCUUUUUAUACAGAUCAUAAACCACAGAACCAUCAAUCUUGUCAUAGGUUUCCUUUAAGUCCUCCCAAACCUCUAGGGCAUAUUUAGAAAAUACUUGUCCUAAAAAUAACUCAUCAGAUACAGAAUUUAGCAACCAAGUUAAUACCACAGAGUUACAUCUAUCCCAUUGACAAGCAAGAACAUGAUCCUCAGUGGAUCUUUCACAUGAACCAUCAAUAAAACCGUACUUAUUCUUGGCUUCUAAAGCCAAUUUCAUAGAACUAGACCAGACAGAAUAAUUUUCAGUACCUUUCAACUUGACACUAACAAUAGUCAAAGCACUAGAAUCACUAGGAUGAAGAUAUAAUGGAUCUCCAAUAUCUAACUUACUGAUCAAGGUCUGAUUAGAGCCAGAACUAGUAGGAUCAGUAUCAGUCAUGGUGACAAACAAGAUACAAACAAGAACAACAAAUAAAGAUUCACAAACAAAGAAUCACACACUACAACAGAUAAGCACAAAUAAACACAAGAACAGCAAAUACACGAACGACAAAGCAAGACUGUAUUAGAGGCUAGAUUCCAGGGUCAUCACUCUAUAGGUGCCUGGACAAGCAUAAUACAGUUGCUAAACUCAACACAGACGAAUAUGCAAGACACAACAACAACAACAACACAGAGACAUACUCGAUCAAGUGCCGGUCCGUCUAGCCUGGUAAACAGAAUGCCUAGAC
rnacentral:lncRNA from 1 species